AUCAGAGACUUGGACAACGUACUAGGAAACAUGGGGAUUGAACUUACCAAAGAAGAACUUGGAGAGCUGACAAGAAACCUUCCAGUUGAUGCUAAAGGGGAGACUGAUUUGAAAUCAUUGAUGGAUACAGUGCAAGUUAUUACAGGAGGAGAAGUUGACUUCAAUGACCUGGAAAAUGUCCUGCAAAAUAUGGGGAUAGAGCUCACAUCUAGAGAACACUUGGAGCUAGAGAAAUUACUUCCAAUUGAUGGUGGGCAUUUCAAAUAGUAGUUUUCAGGCGAGUUGGUAUAGUCGUCAAGGGAGUUAUU
rnacentral:lncRNA from 1 species